AGCACACUGUGCGCUCGCCGACGUCCAUGGUAUACUUUACAGCGGCGCGGAACUAGGGGCCAAUGGGCUCACCAGCUGAACCAGCAACUUGGAAGAAUGAAUGGCAAUAGCUAAUUGUAUUAAAAAUGAUUUUUACAAUAUCUGACUAUGUCGAAUAAAAUUCGAGAUAAAUUUAUGAUGAUGACAUUAUUUAUCUAUGUGUCUUGACUAAUAUUACGUGCCAUGCAGUCGCGGUAAUACGUAUGAAGACUAGUGUUAUUCAUCUUUAAUAGGUUUAAAGUGUACCCAGUGCGGUCGAUAUAAGCUCUAAACAAGCGUACUAUAUCUAACUAGAGUUAUAUAUGUAAUGGUGCAUGAAGCGUACUGUUGAGUGUAGAGAUAAAAUUCUAUCAUACCAGAUGAUUGCGCACAGUGUUUAGGCGAAAGCCAUCGCUAUAUGCUAAUAACUGAUCGUUGGCGGACGAUAGGCUUAAAUAACGAACAGCGAUUAGAUACCCCAGUAGUCUGUGCACAUAAUGAUGAAUGUCAUAGGUUACAAUAAAAGUAAAACUUUUAUCUAUAAAUGAAAGUGUAUAGCCAUUCUACCUCAAGAAUAAUUUGCGCAACCUUUGAUACUGAAAUCAUUACAACGUUCUUGAAACCAGUAGAGAA
rnacentral:rRNA from 1 species